UACGUAGGGUGCAAGCGUUGUCCGGAAUUAUUGGGCGUAAAGAGCUCGUAGGCGGUCUGUCGCGUCGAAUGUGAAAACCCGGGGCUCAACCCCGGGCCUGCAUUCGAUACGGGCAGACUAGAGUUCGGUAGGGGAGUCUGGAAUUCCUGGUGUAGCGGUGAAAUGCGCAGAUAUCAGGAGGAACACCGGUGGCGAAGGCGGGACUCUGGGCCGAUACUGACGCUGAGGAGCGAAAGCGUGGGGAGCAAACAGG
rnacentral:rRNA from 1 species